rnacentral:rRNA from 1 species
UACGUAGGGGGCAAGCGUUGUCCGGAUUUAUUGGGCGUAAAGAGCGUGUAGGCGGCCAGACAGGUCCGUUGUGAAAACUCGAGGCUCAACCCCGAGACGCCACUCGAUACUGCUGUGGCUUGAGUCCGGUAGGGGAGCGUGGAAUUCCUGGUGUAGCGGUGAAAUGCGCAGAUAUCAGGAGGAACACCGGUGGCGAAGGCGGCGCUCUGGGCCGGUACUGACACUGAGGAGCGAAAGCGUGGGGAGCAAACAGG